rnacentral:rRNA from 1 species
CAAUAGCGUAUAUUAAAGUUGUUGCAGUUAAAAAGCUCGUAGUUGGAUUUGUGGCGUACGGUGUGUUCCGGGCACUUGUUGUCUGAGUAACCUGCUGUUGCCAUCCUUGGGUGGAACCUGUGUGGCAUUAGGUUGUCGUGCAGGGGAUGCCCAUCAUUUACUGUGAAAAAAUUAGAGUGUUCAAAGCAGGCUUAUGCCGUUGAAUAUAUUAGCAUGGAAUAAUGAGAUAGGACUUUUUUGCUAUUUUGUUGGUAUGCGCAAGAAGGUAAUGAUUAAUAGGGACAGUUGGGGGUAUUCGUAUUCCAUUGUCAGAGGUGAAAUUCUUGGAUUUUUGGAAGACGAACUACUGCGAAAGCAUUUACCAAGGAUGUUUUCAUUAA